rnacentral:rRNA from 1 species
UACGUAGGAUGCAAGCGUUGUCCGGAAUUAUUGGGCGUAAAGGGCGUGUAGGCGGUAAACCAAGUCAGAUGUGAAAUAUCCCGGCUUAACUGGGAGGGCCAUUUGAAACUGGUUAACUAGAGUGCAGGAGAGGUCAGUAGAAUUCCCGGUGUAGUGGUGAAAUGCGUAGAUAUCGGGAGGAAUACCAGUGGCGAAGGCGGCUGACUGGCCUGCAACUGACGCUGAAACGCGAAGGCUAGGGGAGCAA